rnacentral:lncRNA from 1 species
GUUUUCCAUGGUGAUGCACAAAAGGAAGAACGCCAUGCGGAGCAGCAGACCUGGAGCUGUCCCCACAGCGCUCGCCCCGGAUUCAAGUGCUCUGAGAAGCUGAAAAUGUGACCUUCAGAACGUUCUGUUGUUGUGGGCUGAGGCUGCACCUGGUCAACCCUGUACCAAAGCGGGCAGAACGGUGCAGAAUGUAUACCUGGUUCCUCUGCAGAUAGAAGCCUGUAUCCAGCCCUGUGGUGCAGGAGGACCAUGAGUGGAAGCACAGAAGAUGGAACGUUCAGACAAAAGAAUCCUGUAACCUCUAAUGAAAGAGUUAAACAGAGGCUUGAGACAGAGUGCAGACACUUCGCCAUUGGAAUGGUAAAGUGCCAAGAGAAAGGACACUGAUUGCUUGCAAACAUUGACCUCCUUUUGUCACCAGCAUUAAAAUCUAUACACUUGUUCUGAUUCUGGGGCAUCUUCUCCAAUAAGAAAAGGUGCAAUAAAGAUUUUGAAGUGUGGCA